UAAUAAGUUGUUUUAUGGCACUUAUUAAAUCCAUAUCCACCUUGUGUGCAAUGUCAGUCGAUACUUCUUCAUGGAGGAUCGACCAAACAUCAACCUUUAUACCUUUUAACAUCUCUUUGGUCUGAAAAAUAUUAUGAAUAAAACAAUUCAAAAUA
rnacentral:misc_RNA from 1 species